rnacentral:rRNA from 1 species
GGAUCUUCAUUAGCUUGCUUUUGAAGAUCAGCGGCGGACGGGUGAGUAACACGUGGGCAACCUGCCUGUAAGACUGGGAUAACUUCGGGAAACCGGAGCUAAUACCGGAUAAUCCUUUCCCUCACAUGAGGGAAAGCUGAAAGACGGUUUCGGCUGUCACUUACAGAUGGGCCCCCGGCGCAUUAGCUAGUUGGGGAGGUAACGGCUCACCAAGGCGACUAUGCGUAGCCGACCUGAGAGGGUGAUCGGCCACACUGGGACUGAGACACGGCCCAGACUCCUACGGGAGGCAA